UUUUCUCAGAUCACCCCCAAGGCAGAUUUUUAAAUCAAUACAAUAAAGUGAGAGUGAACACUUUUUCAACUAUCACAAACCACACUCUAAAUAAACCCGUUCUUCCUGGUAAGCAGCCUGGAGCUUGUAUGAAAAAUCUGCCUUGCUCCUUGAGGGCUUGCAGGGGGUGCUGGGCUAAGGGAGGCGCCCUGGCAGUGUGGCCUCUCCUACACUAUGGCGGCUUCCCUGUUGUUUUGGUGGGAUGCUGGUUUAGGUAUCUUUGAAACAAUCAAAAUUCAGGGAUCAGAAAGAAGGUGAUGAUGUGGUUUCCAGUGCCCAAGAUUAUGUCGAACUAGAGAGAGCGAGCAACUGCCUCCUCUCUUGGCUGGUCCAAUGGUGUACCUCCGUUUCUUACCCAAUAAGCUAUGACUAGACUCUCAACAAGGCUUAGAGCUUAGGUCUCAGUCUCUCUUCCCGUUCUUUCUCUUUUCCCUCUUUCUACUUAUUUCUCUUCCUCCUCUUUCUUCAUUCCCCUGUUGCUUCAGCCUUUGAGGAUAUGAAGGGGAUUGUUCUUCAGACUAAAUUAUCUGUCCCAUCUGUGCAUGUUGAUAGGCACAUAUAUUCCUUUAGCUGACUUAGGCCCAGAGAGCUCACAGCAAGGCCUUUACGUCCCAUGCUGGACUCCUGAGGACCCUGUAAGGGCUUUGUUGGGGUUUAAAACACAAGGCAUAGAGAGAGAUGGGAUGUAAGACAACCCCUUCCACAGGUCACAGUGAAUGCACAAGAGUCUCCUGUGUUGCUAUCUGAGCUCACGACCUUCAGAACACUUCCCUAAUCAAACAGUCUGAACUUCCGUGGAGUGCCCGCCCCAAGAGGAAUGUUGGCAGUGAACGCGCUCUUAAUGCUUUCUUCAGAAGUUCUCUUUUCCCCCUUGACUCUUUAUAUGUUUAUUUUAUUUUUAGCAAUCUGUUCGCUUGAUAUCACUGUGCCAAAGAUUAUCCAGGUCAUUUUUGUCCAGAAGUAACAUGAGUGUCGCCAGGAGUGAUGAUACUCUGGUAAGCGUUCCUGUUUGCCUUGGCUAGCUUCUCUGAGCAGCACUGUGUUUAGAGUUUACAUUGUUGUGUUUGUGCAUUAACCCAGAAAGUCCCACAGCACGGGGAUGUUAGACUUACCCUUACUCCGAGAUGGGCUAACACUGUGCCCAGUCCUGCCUUUCCUCCUUGGAGGAUUUUGAUUUGCUUUACUUGGCAUUCUCUCAGCCACCAUCCCUACUGUUUUUAACACUGCUCCUUCCCUAAGCACUUGUACACACACACACACACACACACACACACACACACACACACACACUUAAAAAGAGGGUAACCAGUGGAUGAUGAAAGAGCUCCCACUAAUUCUCAUGACUGCACAUAAGAACACUGAUUGCCACCAUUAGGAAGCUGUAGAGUCAAAGUGAUGUGAAAGGACAGACAGCCCUCACCCGCUUUCUCCACCAACACCGAGGAAAGCACAGUGCUACUGUCUCAUGGUAGACCAGAAGGCCAUAUACACUUAGUUUAUUGACAUCAUCCUGACUGUCCAAAGCCCUUGGGAAUGGCAUCACAGUUUUCCCUAAGUCCAAGCUGAAACCCAAUCACUGAUGAGCUCUUCAGAUACAGCUAGACACCUCUCCCUUCAUCGAGACUUUCCCCAGCCAGUCACAAACAGGGCUUUGUUCACUGAAGGUGAAGGAGACUCCGGGAAAAGCAGACACAGUGGUUCUGUGGGAACCACCCUGGCCUGUAACCUAAUAGUCGGUAUUUCCUGGGUAGAGCUAGGAACUCCUAGGGCAGGGAUCACAUGACAGCAGACACUGGCUCUUCUUUUCUCCUGAAGCUACUCUCUGUAAUAGUGUUACAGCUCUAGUCUACAACUGUAGAGUAAAAGGAGGAAGAAGAUAUGUCCAUGAGUAUACACAUACACACACACACACACACACACACACACACACACACACACACACACACACACACACACAUGCACGCACGAAGGAAAGCUAAAGAAAAGGAACUUAUGAAGAGAUGGGAAGGAAGAAUUCCCCUUUGGAAGGGUGUGAGGUUGUUAAGGGAGCCAGGGGAAAAUGGCAAUGUAGGUCUGACUGUGGGAUGCUGUUGGAUGCUGUAAUGGGAAGUAACUGAAGCUCAUGAAUCAGCAUUCUUAACAGCCCUUGGUCACAAUAAAAGCUCGAGUAGGAGCCUUGGAGAGAAAGUCUCCUCUCUUCUGCUGACUAGGGGUGCUGUAGUCUGUCUGUCUUCUUUCCCUCCACCAAGAUUCAUUCCACUUUUCUACCACAGUGGCCCCUAGUCAUUAGCCUGGACUAUGAAAGAAAACCAAACUUAUGCCUUGGUUCACUGAUGUCCUUUGCCAGUGUUGCCAAAGUCCUCCUGGAAUUUGGAUUUAGAAGGAAUUCAAAGAAAUGCUUUUCCGUUCUGCUCUCACAGGCGUUGACAUUUCAGGAGCUGUCCCUCUGUAUUUUGGGGGGACUUUUCUAGUUCCUUAGUUGUAAGGUAUCAUGUUUUGGAAGCAUCUUGUAAGAAAUGAUGAUGAGUCAACAAAAAGAACAAACUUAUUCAUCAUUCCAAGUUUUCUUGGAGAUUAGAAAUAUAUCCAUUGUCUCUUCUUUUAGGACACACACACACACACCUACACACACACACACACACACACACACACUCACCAUUCAGAGAAUUUUGCCUUCCUAUUUUAGACCUAGAGAAAGAAGACAUUCACAUGUC
rnacentral:lncRNA from 1 species